rnacentral:rRNA from 1 species
GACGAACGCUGGCGGCGUGCCUAAUACAUGCAAGUCGAGCGAACAGACGAGGAGCUUGUUCCUCGCACGUUAGCGGCGGACGGGUGAGUAACACGUGGAUAACCUACCUAUAAGACGGGUAUAACUUCGGGAAACGAGAGCUAAUACCGGAUAAUAUAUUGAUCCACAUGGUUCGAUGGUGAAAGACGGCUUUGCGGUCUCUAAUAGAUGGAUAUGCGCCGCAUUGGCUAGUUGGUAAGGUAACGGCUUACCAAGGGAAGGAUGCGUAGCCGACCUGAGGGGGGGAUCGGCCACACUGGAACUGAGACACGGUCCAGACUCCUACGGGAGGCAGCAGUAGGGAAUCUUCCGCAAAGGGCGAAAGCCUGACGGAGCAACGCCGCGUGAGUGAUGACGGUCCCCGGAUCGUAAAACCCUGUUAUUAGGGAGGAACCGCUGUGUAAGUAACUAUGCACGUCUUGACGGUACCUAAUCAGAAAGCCACGGCUAACUACGUG